ensembl:lncRNA
GGCACAUUUCCAGCUUGGCACUUAAAUUAAUACAGUUUUAAAAUAUUAGUCUGGAACUUGAGAUCUGGCAGUACCUACCUCUAACUCAGACUUUUUCAUCAGCUUAAGUGAGCUGGCUGGUACCAGUUUCUCACAGCAGGCAACCAGAAGUCAUGGCAGCUCAGGAAAAUCUUAAUUAAAUGGCUUAAGAGUGAGAAUCUCAAUAUCAGAAGGUGCCAGCUCACUGCCACCAAGCAGCUCCCCGAAGUCUGAUGGAGCAGCAAAGCCAACAACCUCAACACCUAGGCUGGGCCCUCAGUAUUUUGCACAGGAAGCAGGUGUCUUCAGAGGAAAAGGUCUGAGCCAAAAAGCUGGUUUAUAUCUG